rnacentral:rRNA from 1 species
UACGUGGGGUGCGAGCGUUGUCCGGAAUUAUUGGGCGUAAAGGGCUCGUAGGCGGUUUGUCGCGUCGGGAGUGAAAACCAUGGGCUUAACUCAUGGCUUGCUUUCGAUACGGGCAGACUAGAGGUAUGCAGGGGAGAACGGAAUUCCUGGUGUAGCGGUGAAAUGCGCAGAUAUCAGGAGGAACACCGGUGGCGAAGGCGGUUCUCUGGGCAUGACCUGACGCUGAGGAGCGAAAGUGUGGGGAGCAAACAGG